AACCCAUGAUGAGGGCACCUUCUCAAUAAGCCUUUGUAUCUCUCUCACGCAUCAUGUAAUGUCUCUAAGUCGAUCUGUACAAGAGAAGAGAUGUCAUUCCUCAACUU
rfam:Gossypium raimondii Chr11_contig_549, whole genome shotgun sequence.